GUGAUACUUUUUUUCGGUUUCAUGGGAUACUUUAUCCGAGCUCAACAACCUUCGGAAGAGGUUCAUUCCAUUGCCAACAACAACCCCUACAGGGACAAACGGAGCAUUAUCUACCUGAAUAGCAGAGCCCCUAUUACAGUUGCGGUCGUUAUUGUGCUUCCCAUUUCGGUGAUGUUUCAGGCCCUGGGUGGCCGUAGUAGCAGAAAACAAGUCCUGGAUAACAAUGCUAGCCAAAAAGUGCGUAACUCUUAUACGGUGGCCUAGCUGCAGGAAAUUGAACCCAAAAAGUUCUAAUGCCAAUUCUUUUUAUUGCCAUUUAAACGGUGACGUGGACCUAACACGUUACUGUAGUCACCCUACAAAUAAACAGGAUCCGAGCUGCUGCCUGUUUGUCGAAUGUCGACAGUUGCACAAAUGAAAAAUUGUUUUGGGAUUUACACAAUUGUUAAUAUUUUAGAUGUUACGUACUUUGGAAACAAAAUGAAACUACGGCUUCAAUAAAAACAAUUCUCGCUGUUUUUCAUAGAAAAGCUUUC